rnacentral:miRNA from 1 species
UUGAAACAUCCUCUAUUGAAUU